UACGUAGGGGCCUAGCGUUGUCCGGAAUUAUUGGGCGUAAAGAGCUCGUAGGCGGUUCGGCAAGUCGGAUGUGAAAUCUCCACGCUUAACGUGGAGGGGCCAUUCGAAACUGCUGUGACUCGAGUCCGGUAGGGGAGUGUGGAAUUCCCGGUGUAGCGGUGAAAUGCGCAGAUAUCGGGAGGAACACCAGUAGCGAAGGCGGCACUCUGGGCCGGUACUGGACGCUGAGGAGCGAAAGCGUGGGGAGCGAACAGG
rnacentral:rRNA from 1 species